rnacentral:rRNA from 1 species
UACCUGCAGCUCGAGUGGUAACCGCUAUUAUUGGGCCUAAAGCGUCCGUAGCCGGUUUGGUAAAUAUCUGGGUAAAUCGUGAGGCUUAACUUCACGAAUUUCGGAUAGACUGCCAGACUUGGGAUCGGGGGAGGUCAGAGGUACUCCAGGGGUAGCGGUGAAAUGUUGUAAUCCUUGGAGGACCACCGGUAGCGAAGGCGUCUGACUAGAACGAGUCCGACGGUGAGGGACGAAGCCCUGGGGCGCAAACCGGAUUAGAUACCCGGGUAGUCCAGGGUGUAAACGAUGUGGGCUUUGUAUUGGAGGUCCCACGUGGGCGUCCAGUGCAGAAGAGAAGUUGUUAAGCCCACCGCCUGGGAAGUACGGUCACAAGGCUGAAACUUAAAGGAAUUGGCGGGGGAGCACAGCAACGGGAGGAGCGUGCGGUUU